rnacentral:tRNA from 1 species
GGCGCCAUAGCCAAGUGGUAAGGCAGUGGACUGCAAAUCCGCGAUUCCCCCAGUUCAAAUCUGGGUGGCGCCUCCA